GUCCACGCCGUAACGAUGGAUACUAGCUGUUCGGAGCAAUCUGAGUGGCUAAGCGAAGUGAUAAGUAUCCCACCUGGGAGUACGCACGCAAGUGUGAACUCAAAGGAAUUGACGGGCCCGCACAAGCGGUGGAGCAUGUGGUUAAUUCGAUGAUACGCGAGGAACCUUACCAGGGCUUAAAUGUAGAUUGACAGGACUGGAAACAGUUUUCUUCGGACAAUUUACAAGGUGCUGCAUGGUUGUCGU
rnacentral:rRNA from 1 species